GGAAGAAAGAUAACGAGUCCAAUUUUAGACAUGUUAAAAAAAGAAGAUGUCUACUGAAUAUUCAUUUUGAGAUGCCUGAAAGACAAUUGGAAAUGAAAGGUUGGACAUCAGCAGAGGGGUAAGUUUAAUAAGUAGAUGUGAGAAUCAUCGGCAUAGCAAUAAUGAUAAUUGUAUCUAUGGAAACUCAUGAGAUCACCAAGUAAAGCACUACAUAGGAAGAAUAGAAAAAGGUCCAGGACAGAGCCCUGUUGGUAAACCAUAGUUAAUGAGCAUUACCUGAAUGAAGAUUCAGAGAAGGAGACAAAGAAGGAGUGGUCAGUUAAGCAAGAGAAUGAAGAGAGAAUGGCUUCUCCAAAACAGAGAGAAGAGUAUUGGGAGGGAACAGUGAUUGACAGUGUCAAAGACUACAGAGAGAUCAAGAAAAGAUUGGGAUUAAGAAAAGCUGGCAAAUGUAUUGUGAACCAGAAGCUUAGAGUAUAAAACUUCUUGGAAGAAUACCAGAGAACAAAGCUGAUAAGUAGAAAGAACAUCAGUAGCAGAAAUGUUCCCUACACUGAAAAAAGGCACAUCUGAAAGUAUCUGAAAAGGACAGAAGUCAAAGUAAGACAAGCAAAGGGGCUCUUCCACUGGAAACAGUUUGAAAGGUAGGCAGUAAGAGGGAAAUUCCAUGUUAAAAGGGGGCAAAACUACAAAGGAAAAGUGCAGGCUGACUACCCAUCCACCCAUACCUACCAUGCCAAAAGCAGAGCCAGGAUCAGGGCAAUUUCCAAAUCCCAGGGUGCUGGCUUAAGAAAAAGCACCCCUGAAGACUCCAGGCCCUGAAAGUGAAAUUCAAAGCUUAAUAUCACUGGAUUCACUCCCAGAAGCAGAGUCAGAAGUGCAGCCAUGGGGGUAGCAGCAGGGGCAGGAAAGAUAACUUUAGGGCAAAAUACUGCAAAGUAUGCAAUACCACAGACCUACACCUGGAAAUCCCAGCCCUGGAGGUGAGAUUCAGAGCUCCAGAGCACUGGCCUCACUCAACAGCAGGCAGCAGCAUCAGUUGCAGCAGCAUCAGUUGCAGCAGCAGAGAAAGAUAGCCUCACACAAAACACAUUGCAGCCUGCAACACCUACAAAAACAAACAAACAAAAAAUCACUACCGGCCUGCCUGCACUCACUCAGACCUUUGACAGGGAAGGGAAGAUAGCCCCAAAGCAAAGCCCUGCAAGACAUAAGCUAAUAUAAAAUUGACCAGCAAGAUGCAGGACUCCCAGUCCUCUAGUGGAAAAUGAGUAAACAACAAUAACAAAAAGGCUCUUGAUCCUGGGAAAUUUCUACAGAGAAAAAGAACAAAAAACUGAAGCAACAGGAGAGGGUGAGAAAUAAGUAAAUACAUGCAGAAUCUCCAAAAAAUAAAAGGAAACAAGUCACAAGCUCUGGAGGAACUCAAAAAGGAGUUCUAAAACCAAGUAAAACAGAAGAAAAUGGGUAAAGUGAGAAAAAGAAAUGAAAGUAACACAAAAAGAAAAUAGCAGCUUAAAAGGCAAAAUUGCCCAAAUGGAAAGAGAGACACAGAAAUCAAAUGAAGCAAUAAAUAAAUUUAAAAACCAGAGCUGACCUCCUGGAAAAAUAGGCAAAGAACUCCAAUGGUGAAAAGAGUACCAUGAAAGACAGGAUCGACCAAAUUGACAAGGAGAAUAAAAAGAUCAUGAAUGAAAGUCAGUCUUUAAAAUCUAGAAUUGGGCAACUAGAAUUUAAUGAUUUCACAACACAUCAAGAAAUCAUAAAACAAAAUAAUCAAAAGAAUGAAAAAGAAAUACUAGGAAACAUGGAAUUUCUUGAAUAAAACAACUGACCUGUCUUGAUUUUUGCAUUAAUGUGACUUAAAUGAAGUAGAGUUGCACAAAGUCAUCAGUCUCACUAUCUCUUCCAGAGGGAUCAAAGAACAAGAUGACUGUUGAUCCAGGAUGCAGUGGACAACUGACAUGUUAGAUAUCUAACUGAGCUCUAAGAGCUCUGUAGUGCUUAUUUCCACCUCUUCAUAGAGAAGCUAGCAUUUCCCCUAUGAGUACCAGCUUCAAAAAACUCAACAUUCCAUCUCUCAGUCCUCCUAAGGCUGUACAUAUACAUGAUUUUGCUCCUUCUCUCUGUUUUCCUAAAGUAUCAUUUGAUGUUUGUAUGGCCUUUGAUAUCAUAUUUUGAGCUUCUGUCUAGAACUUGGGCAAAGUAGGACUCCAUUUCUCACUGCCAUACUCUUCCUACCUGUGUCUAAUUACAGAAUAAAUAACUUCACCAUUGUUAUCAUUGUUUUCAUUAUCAUCAGCAACAUUACCAUCUUCACCAUCUGACAAAGGACUAACAUUAAAAUAUCAAUGCCUCUAAGUACCAUUAACUAAAAUGGAAGCACUGUAACCCUGCAUUGUGUAUCUGCUUUGAUGAUUUUUCUAAGCACAACAGAACCAAGACUUACAGCCAAGCAUUCUAAUUAUUUCAUGCUUACAUUGCAAAAAAAAAAUAACUCCCACCUCUUAAAUCACAAUUAUCUCCUUUUUCUAUAAAUGCCUUAACUUUGAAUCAUUGUUUUCCAAACCAAUAAUUACACCCUUUUCUUCCCCAUUCCUUAAAAAAAAAAAUUGGAUGGGAAGCCAGUUAUACUUCCCCAAAUUGUCAAAAAUAAAGAGAAAAAGCAUUAUUUUUCUCUUCUUUACUGCUUAGGUUUAGGAAUAGCUCAUGAAAAUCAAAAGAAGAGAAAUAAUUUCAUAUUGAGACAGUAGUAUC